AUGGGCUGCGCUGGAUCCACACCCAAAGUUGAUGAGAGCAGUAAGAAUCUAAGGAAGCCUAAGCCUUGGAAGCACACUCAGCCAAUAACACCAGCGCAACUCAAACAGAUGCGUGAUGAAUUCUGGGACACAGCUCCACACUAUGGUGGACAGAAAGAGAUUUGGGACGCACUCAGGGCCGCUACAGACGCCGAUUUAACCCUUGCGCAGACCAUAGUGGACAGUGCCGGAAUCAUCGUAUCGAAUCCUGACCUCACGCUUUGUUACGACGAGAGAGGUGCAAAGUACGAGCUGCCCAAUUACGUUCUGAGUGAGCCGACAAACCUGAUCCGUGAUGGCUGA
rnacentral:rRNA from 1 species